rnacentral:rRNA from 1 species
GGGAGGCAGCAGUGGGGAAUAUUGCGCAAUGGGGGCAACCCUGAGGCAGCAAUACCGCGUGAGUGAAGAAGGUUUUUGGAUAAUAAAGCUCUUUUAUUGGGGAAGAAAAAAAGACCGUACCCAAGAAGAAAGUCCCGGCUAACUCCGUGCCCGCAGCCGCGGUAAUAGGUAGGGGACUAAUCUUGUCCCGAUUUGCUUGGAGGAAAGGGCAGGCUGGCGGUUUUUUAAGUCAGAAGGGAAAGGUACCGGCUCAACCGGUCACAUGCAUUUGAAACUGAAGGGCUUGAGUGAGGGAGAGGCAAGUGGAAUUCCUAGUGUAGCGGUGAAAUGCGUAGAUAUUAGGAGGAACACCGGUGGCGAAGGCGGCUUGCUGGACAAAUACUGACGCUGAGGAGCGAAAGCGUGGGGAGCAAACAGGAUUAGAUACCCUGGUCGUCCACGCCGUAAACGAUGAGUGCUAGGUGUUGGGGAGACUCAGUGCCGCAGCUAACGCAAUAAGCACUCCGCCUGG